UGUCAGGUGAGGAAAUUGGAUAAAACCUUCAUGGUGUUGGGUGUGUGGAGAAAUCCUUCACCACUCUAGUGUCCUGUAUUUCAGACCAAAAUUAACACUACUUAAUGAUUUAUUUCCAGCAUGCACUUGUGAUUACUCUCUUAUUUAACUGAAGAUGUUUGUCCUACUCUGUUGUGACAAAAUGCCUUACACCACAUCAUUUAUGAAUGACAGAAAUGCACAGCUCAGGAGUCAGAGGUGGUAGACGCAAGGUCCAGGCUAGCAGGCACUGUCUGGUGAGGACUCUGUCCCUCCAUCCCUCUGACCCGCUGUCCUUCCGUCCUCCAUCCUUCCAUCCUUGCUUUGCAGCGGGGCCCCAGCCACUGUUGCUCAGGUGGCAGGGAGAGAGGACACUGCUGAAUUCUGUCUUCUUGCUUACAAAAGAGCACAAGGUCCAGACUCACACCUGCAGGCUUGUACAAGGGACUCAGACAAGAGGCUGAAUCAGUCCUGAAAGCCCCUUUAAUACUGCUGCAUUGCGUGUCAGAUUUCAACCAAAAGGUUGAAAGGCUCAAAAUAGUCAGACCCUGGCACUGCUGUAUUGCAUUUGUGGUUUGAAGAGAAGGACGUUACUUGCUUACAGUUAUUCCUUAAAAUAGUUGAUUCUUACCAAACUACUUGCAAAGAAGAACGUAGGACCAGUUAUGUUGCAACAUACUCUUCCAGGCGUUUCCUCUGUAGUUCACCACAAAAGCCUUCCUGCCUCCUUCCCUGCUUUGUCUCCCAGCUGUUUUCAGUCUUGAAGAUGUGGUACACGGAAUGUGAACAUCUGUCUCACAUCUCAGCUCUACAGAAGUCCUGCUGUGACAGUGGUGCAGUCCAGCGCAAGCCUGGGCGCCUGCUGGCCAACAUCCAGGAGCUCCUCAGCGUGUCGGGCUGCGGAGAUGCAGCGGUUCAGCUCCAGGGGUGGAGGGCACCGCCAGCCAUGGCAUCGCUGAAACCACACUGGGCAGCGGAGACACCAGAGCGGCUGCCCCACCCCGUGUCCUCAGGAGCCUGUGUGACAGCUGAGUCCUCCAGGCUGGGCGAAAUCGCUCCGUCCUCCACACCGUGAAGAGAUUGAGGACUAAGAAAAAAGGAAGCAAGAAACCCAGAUCACCUGCCUGGAAUCAGAGGAAGACCAAGAAGAACAGGAGAAAAACAGAAACACUCAGGAAGCAAGCUCCUUUCUGUGCACCUGCCUUUUCCUCCGAGAGUACUCCUUUUAAAACCAGAGCCUGGACCUGUGGCUGCAGCAGUAGCACCCUGGGGUGCUGCAGGGGUUCCAGGGUGCCCUGCUCUGUCUGAAAGGAGCCCCCCUGGGAUUGAGAUGAUCAACUGUGAAAUCCUGCUCCUUCUUUAGGUCUUAUCUCAGUGGUUCCCUUUAUGGGGUCUUUCCUGUGCCCUCCAGGCCAGCUAAGGGAAAGGACUUCAUGCGUUUGCUAGGAACUUUCACUGUAAUUCUUGUCACAAAUUGUUAUUUAGGAUUCACUUGGUAGUCCUGCACAUUUACUGCUCUUAGUUUACUACAGUAUAUUAUGUUUUUCUUUUCUUUUCCUUUUUUUUCCUGUAAUUGAAUGCAAAGUCUUUAAUAACAACUUCUCCCAAUAUAAUUUUAACCAAUUCUA